rnacentral:lncRNA from 1 species
GGAAGGGAAUAGCUCAGAACGCUGGCCUGGCUCCCAGAACCGGGGCCCUCCGGAAAGCGGAAACAGCUGCUCAGGCGGACAGCGGGCUUGUCCAGCGCAGAUAUGCGCAGGCUCGAGUCCCUUAGCAGGCGCGGCCGCGCCCACCACACCCCCUCAAGCCUUGCCUCACCAGUGGUGGCAGUACAGAGAGCCCUGGGCUGGGAGUUCGAGAGCUGGCUCAGCUCACUCGCUUCAUCACCCGAGCAUGAGUCAGUGACUCACGGGCGCCUCAGACAGGCUUAGCGGGGAGGACCCACACCUCCCUCCUAGCGGAGCUUCCAGGGCACCCUGGGCCUCGCGGCCCUCGCGGUCGAGGGCGCAGAGAAACGCACCCCCUGCAGGACCCCGAGUCCCCCUCGUUUUGUCCCACGCCGGGGAAGCCACGUUUUGCCUCUUGCACGGUUGGUUCACGUCCUCAGCAGUUCCUGGACCAACAGGACAGGAGAAGUUACCAGACACAUUGAUCAUGGGAGUGAUCAAACACACCAUUCCUGGCCAAGAACACUGCCGUGGUCAUAGCCUCCAAGGAGAGAAGCGUCCUCAAGGCAUUGCUCAUCCAGACUUUGCUGUGUUUUGACCACACCAUCCUUUGGCCACGUGUGAUUGGACAGAGGAGGAUGCUUGGCCCAGGACCUCCGUGCAUGGACUGACUGGUAUUGUCAGAUGUGGUCCAGCUGGAUCAAAGAUCAUUCAAGUUAGAUCUUUCUAUCUUCGGGAGUUGAUUUUGGAAAUGAAGAGAAAACGAGCCAGCUGGUAGCGGGACAAGAAUCAUGAAGAUACACUUAGAAGAGGGGUGUGAAGAUUGUCAUCACUGAGUCACGCUUAUGCUGGAAAUCCAGGACCAAUGGUUCUGAACCCAAACGCCUGUGCACACGGGCUGGCAGCUACCCUCACAGGUGGGUACCAUAUUGUGUUCAAGGUGGAGGAUGUACCUUUUGUUGUAACUGAAGAUAUAUGUUGUUACAACAGUGCACCUCAGACAGAGUGUUGAGAGAAGCGCUUCAACAUGUAGAAUGGGAGAAUCCCAAAUGGGCACAUUGUAUGGGAGAGAUGUGAGAGGUAGAGCAUGCUGAUAAGCACGGGCAAAGGAACCUCGUGUUUCCUAGGGUGUAUGCAAACUUGGUUUUGUGAGUACAGAGCACAGUUGGGGCCAUAGCAGUUAUCCUCAAAUGAAAACACAGGCUUGAAGAGUAAUCAAGUGAAUGAUAUAAGUGGGGAUGUAAUUUAAUCCCUUUGAAGCCUUGCCAAAAAUUCUAGUGUUUGAACGUGCACCAUGGAAUUAGUCAGGACCCUUUUAGUUUUAAGUGACAAAGACUGAACUCAAAUUAACUUACAAGGGAAUUCAUGGCUCAUAUAAUUAAAAAAUCUAAAGGAUGGAACUGAUUUUGGUCCUGGCUGGAUCCAAAUGUGCAGUAUCAUUGGAAAUUAGGGGUAGCUAAUU